GGCGCUGAAGCCCAGUUGGUAGGGUGCCUGCCUAGCAGGUCAGAUGCCCUGGGUUCUGUUCCCAGCACUGCCA
rnacentral:tRNA from 1 species